ensembl:lncRNA
AUACAUUUGGGGGAUUUGGGAAAUUAAUGAUUAACUUAUGUGGAUAAGAAACAGUUUGAAUAGGCUGAACGAUCAGUAAAUGAUGUGAAACGGUUGAAAGACAGCUGUAUUUGUAAGGAGCUCAGUUCAUUUGUACCUCGUAGCGGUCUAUCUAUCCACGAUGAAGCUCAUCCUGACAAUCUCCUGCGCCUUCACACUGUUCUACACAGCUGACAUGCUCAAUUGCUACACCUGUGAGCCUGAGGAUGAAAAAUGUCGGACAACAGUAUUAAAGAACUGUGUGAAAGCAGUAUGUUCCACCUUAACAAGCAUAGAAUAUCCUUCAGAUUCCAUCAGAGUAUCUAAGGGUUGUACGUAUGUAGCCAAAAACUGUUAUUUCAUGGAUAAAGUAACAGAACUGUCAAUGAACAACGGAUACUCACAAGCCUCCCAAUCCUCGUUUUGCUGCAACACGACAGGCUGCAACAUAGACACCCUCCCUGCCCUCAGUGACAAGCCCAAUAAACUACAAUGUCACACCUGGGUGAAUGGUACUUAUGAAGUUUUGCAAUGCAUUGGAAUUGAAGACCACUGCUUCAAAUAUAAACAGCUCACUCCUGAUGGGGGCAAAGUCACCAUUUAUGGAGGCUGUGCCUCCAGUGACUCAUGCCUCUGGUCUGAGAUGCCCAACCAGACGAACCUCAACUGCUGCAAGGGGAGUCUGUGUAACAAAGCCAUGGGGAUGAGUCUGAGUUCUCUCCCUCUUCUGCUGGGUCUCCUCCUCAUCUCACUGGUCUAGUUAGUGGGAGGAUUCAUGGUAAUCCCAGCCGUUGGUGUGAUAUCCACAAUAAAUCUAUGUGUCAAUAUAUUGGUACAUCUAAGAAAUUUGAAACAUAAGUAAUAUUAUUGUGUUUGGAUGUUCAUUUAUUCGCAAAAGAAAUGGAAAUUGUAGAAUUAUUUUAAAAUCUGUAGUCACUCAUGUCACUCUUUACUCUUUACUUGUACAUUACGUUACUGUAUAUUAUAAACUGGGUGGUACGAGUCCUGAAUGCUGAUUGGCUGACAGCCGUGGUAUGUCAGACUGUAUACCACGUGUAUGACAAAACAUGUAUUUUUACUGCUCUAAUUACUUUGGUAACCCGAUUAUAUUAUGCCUUUAUAUUAUUAAGCAAUAAGGCCCAAGGGGUUUGUGGUAUAUGACCAAUAUACCACGGAUAAGGCCUGUAACCAGGCACUCUGUGUUGCAUCGUGCUUAAGAACAGCCAUUAGCCAAUUUAUAUUGGCCAUAUACUACACCCCCGUGGGCCUUAUUGCUUAAGUAUAUAAUGGCAUAAUAUCACCACAAAACUAUGUUACAUACGGUACAGUGCAAAGAUCAAGGUUGCUCCCUCUCUCUCAUCAACUUCAAUUGUACUCUCUUCCUAAACAAAGGUCUUACACACAUCUGAAAGCAGGAAAGGAAAAGGAAAUAGAGAGAAGGACCACCAAACAUCUGAUGCUAAACCAAAGAAUGUUAACGAGGCCAUAAAUAUAUUUUUAUACCUUUUUACUAUGUUUGAUAUGAUGCCAUUAUCGGGUGAAUGUAGCAGGGUAAAGUCAGGUCUGAUGGGGCAGAGUAAACAGAUUUAGGAGAUGGGUUUAUUCUCAGGUAUAGGAUCAUACCCAUAUAUUUUCACUUCUCUUAGUUUUUUUCUGUACUGCUUUUUAGUUGAGGCUUGUAGCUAGCUGAGGGUUGUAACAUGGCAGUGUGUACCCAUUUAUAUCAACAGUUAUUAUCAAUCAGUUAUUAUAUGCUUAAUGUGCUUUGGGACUAAUAAAAUAAAAGUAAAGAAUCCUA